rnacentral:rRNA from 1 species
CUUAGCCCUAAACUUAGAUAUUUUCAGCACAAAAAUAUCCGCCAGAGAACUACGAGCAUAAACGCUUAAAACUCUAAGGACUUGGCGGUACCUCAAACCCUCCUAGAGGAGCCUGUUCUAUAAUCGAUAAUCCACGAUCUACCUCACCAUCCCUUGCCAAUUCCGCCUAUAUACCACCGUCACCAGCUUACCCCAUGAGAGCACAAAAGUAAGCAAAAUAACCUAAACAGUUAAUAAGUCAGGUCAAGGUGUAGCUAAUUGAGAUGGAAGAAAUGGGCUACAUUUUCUACCUUAGAAUUAAUCACGGAAGAAUAUCAUGAAAUAGAUUCCACAAGCAGGAUUUAGCAGUAAACUGGGAGCAGAGAGCCCAAUUUAAGCUGGUCCUGAGGUACGC